UACAGAGGUCUCAAGCGUUGUUCGGAUUCAUUGGGCGUAAAGGGUGCGUAGGUGGCAUGGUAAGUCGGAUGUGAAAUCCCGGGGCUCAACCCCGGAACUGCAUUCGAUACUGCUGCGCUAGAGUACUGGAGAGGAGAUUGGAAUUUACGGUGUAGCAGUGAAAUGCGUAGAUAUCGUAAGGAAGACCAGUGGCGUAGGCGGAUCUCUGGACAGUUACUGACACUGAGGCACGAAGGCCAGGGGAGCAAACGGG
rnacentral:rRNA from 1 species